UACGGGGGGGGCAAGCGUUGUUCGGAAUUACUGGGCGUAAAGGGCUCGUAGGUGGCCAACUAAGUCGGACGUGAAAUCCCUCAGCUUAACCGGGGAACUGCGUCUGAUACUGGAUGGCUUGAGGUUGGGAGAGGGAUGCGGAAUUCCAGGUGUAGCGGUGAAAUGCGUAGAUAUCUGUUAGAAUACCAAUGGCGAAGGCAGUUGCCUGGCCCGUUACUGACGCUAAAGCACGAAAGUGUGGGUAGCAAACAGG
rnacentral:rRNA from 1 species